rnacentral:rRNA from 1 species
CCUACGGGUGGCAGCAGUCGAGAAUCAUUCACAAUGGGGGAAACCCUGAUGGUGCGACGCCGCGUGGGGGAAUGAAGGUCUUCGGAUUGUAAACCCCUGUCAUGUGGGAGCAAAUUAAAAAGAUAGUACCACAAGAGGAAGAGACGGCUAACUCUGUGCCAGCAGCCGCGGUAAUACAGAGGUCUCAAGCGUUGUUCGGAAUCACUGGGCGUAAAGCGUGCGUAGGCUGUUUCGUAAGUCGUGUGUGAAAGGCGCGGGCUCAACCCGCGGACGGCACAUGAUACUGCGAGACUAGAGUAAGGGAGAGGGAACCGGAAUGCUCGGUGUAGCAGUGAAAUGCGUAGAUAUCGAGCGGAACACUCGUGGCGAAGGCGGGUUCCUGGACAUUAACUGACGCUGAGGCACGAAGGCCAGGGGAGCGAAAGGGAUUAGAUACCCUAGUAGUC